CUGCGGCAGCGACACUAUGUGUUGUUGGGUAGGGGAGCGUUCUGUAAGCCUGUGAAGGUGGCCUGUGAGGGUUGCUGGAGGUAUCAGAAGUGCGAAUGCUGACAUAAGUAACGAUAAAGCGGGUGAAAAGCCCGCUCGCCGGAAGACCAAGGGUUCCUGUCCAACGUUAAUCGGGGCAGGGUGAGUCGACCCCUAAGGCGAGGCCGAAAGGCGUAGUCGAUGGGAAACAGGUUAAUAUUCCUGUACUUGGUGUUACUGCGAAGGGGGGACGGAGAAGGCUAUGUUGGCCGGGCGACGGUUGUCCCGGUUUAAGCGUGUAGGCUGGUUUUCCAGGCAAAUCCGGAAAACCAAGGCUGAGGCGUGAUGACGAGGCACUACGGUGCUGAAGCGACAAAUGCCCUGCUUCCAGGAAAAGCCUCUAAGCAUCAGGUAACAUCAAAUCGUACCCCAAACCGACACAGGUGGUCAGGUAGAGAAUACCAAGGCGCUUGAGAGAACUCGGGUGAAGGAACUAGGCAAAAUGGUGCCGUAACUUCGGGAGAAGGCACGCUGAUAUGUAGGUGAAGCGACUUGCUCGUGGAGCUGAAAUCAGUCGAAGAUACCAGCUGGCUGCAACUGUUUAUUAAAAACACAGCACUGUGCAAACACGAAAGUGGACGUAUACGGUGUGACGCCUGCCCGGUGCCGGAAG
rnacentral:rRNA from 1 species